rnacentral:rRNA from 1 species
UACUCCUACGGGAGGCAGCAGUGGGGAAUAUUGGACAAUGGGCGCAAGCCUGAUCCAGCAAUGCCGCGUGUGUGAAGAAGGCCUUCGGGUUGUAAAGCACUUUAGCCUGGAAAGAAAACGCUUUGGCUAACAUCCAAAGUCUUGACGGUACCAGGAGAAUAAGCACCGGCUAACUCUGUGCCAGCAGCCGCGGUAAUACAGAGGGUGCAAGCGUUAAUCGGAUUUACUGGGCGUAAAGCGUGUGUAGGUGGUGAUUUAAGUCGGAUGUGAAAGCCCCGGGCUCAACCUGGGAACUGCAUUCAAAACUGACUAGCUAGAGUAUGGUAGAGGGUGGUGGAAUUUCCUGUGUAGCGGUGAAAUGCGUAGAUAUAGGAAGGAACACCAGUGGCGAAGGCGACCACCUGGACUGAUACUGA